UCCCUACGGGGGGCAGCAGUGAGGAAUAUUGGUCAAUGGGCGGAAGCCUGAACCAGCCAAGUCGCGUGAGGGAUUAAGGCCCUAUGGGUCGUAAACCUCUUUUGUCAGGGAGCAAUGGCGUCCACGUGUGGGCGUAUGGAGAGUACCUGAAGAAAAAGCAUCGGCUAACUCCGUGCCAGCAGCCGCGGUAAUACGGAGGAUGCGAGCGUUAUCCGGAUUUAUUGGGCGUAAAGGGUGCGUAGGCGGCCUGCUAAGUCUGGAGUGAAAGGUACCGGCUCAACCGGUACAGGCUCUGGAAACUGGCG
rnacentral:rRNA from 1 species